GACGAACGCUGGCGGCGUGCUUAACACAUGCAAGUCGAACGGAAAGGCCCUGCUUUUGUGGGGUGCUCGAGUGGCGAACGGGUGAGUAACACGUGAGUAACCUGCCCUUGACUUUGGGAUAACUUCAGGAAACUGGGGCUAAUACCGGAUAGGAGCUCCUGCUGCAUGGUGGGGGUUGGAAAGUUUCGGCGGUUGGGGAUGGACUCGCGGCUUAUCAGCUUGUUGGUGGGGUGGUGGCUUACCAAGGCUUUGACGGGUAGCCGGCCUGAGAGGGUGACCGGCCACAUUGGGACUGAGGUACGGCCCAGACGCCUACGGGAGGCAGCAGUGGGGAAUAUUGCACAAUGGGCGGAAGCCUGAUGCAGCAACGCCGCGUGCGGGAUGACGUGCUUCGGGUUGUAAACCGCUUUCUCCUGUGACGAAGCGUGAUUGACGGUAAUGGGUAAAAAAGCACCGGCUAACUACGUG
rnacentral:rRNA from 1 species